GCCCAACUUCCUAUGCUCGCUCAAUUACUAGCUAGCCCUGCCCACCUUUGCCUGGAAUUAGCUUCUCCUCCCUCCCCUUCCCUAUCCUACAUCGAUACCUCCACCUUUAUCGCCACAACUCCAUAAGUAGUAACAACACCAUCAAGUCCACCGUCACCACUAAAAACUAUGGAUCGGAACCCCGCCUCAUCAGAAUUAACCUCCUCUCCCACACUCUACAUAUUUCUUGAUCGACGCCCCCGCCUUCAUCUCCGCUUCUUCGUCCACGAUUCUAAAAGUGAUGCGGAUUCCAAAAAUAGGGGUGCUCCGACUUCAUGCUUAAAUCAGGAGGCCUCUCCAGGUUAUUCGACAUCAUCACUGCCUUCGACUUCGUGGAAUGCAAAGAAACCAAAGGAUGUGAUUAGAAAAAAAAGAUACAGCCGCCUUCAAAAGCCACUCUAAACCACAACGGGGAGGUAACUUGAAUGGUUGUGAAGAUGCCUGAUUUUAGGAUUCGGCAAAGAAAAUCAAAUUACGACCAUGGUUUAGAACUUUAGAUAUAGUAGAAUGGACUUUCUCCUUGUACUCUUGUUCGUUUUUCUCUUGGCUUUUCAUCUUCGUGGGCUCCAAUCGGGCUUAGCCCAAUAGAGAGACAGGCCACCCUGUGAGGCCCAUGUGGGCUGUGGCACAAAGAAAAAGAAAAAUGUCAGCUCGGCGGCCGUAUGAAGGAGCCGAGCCAAGGAAUUGGACAGGACAGGACUACAGGAGCAGGACUCAUGAUUCAUGAACCGCACCCUUGUCUCUCCAUCCACGACGGCGCGGCUACUUGGGUUGGUUGGGUGCAUGCCUGAUAAUCAUGGACUGAUGAUGGUAGACUAUAAUUGCCUGAAUGGCAAUGCAAUCGUACCCAGAUCUAUGCUAUAGGAUGAAAAAGAGGCUGAAACUUCACAACCCCUGCGCUAAAUAGAUAGUAAAAAAUGUGCAUAUCAGAGCCCAAACUUUAGUCAAAAUGUGCAUAUCAGAAUUCUAGAACCCGAAUUGGCGGCCAGGGUUCAGCCAGUUCAUAAUCCCCUGACUUCCCUGUCAGUCGCAUGGUGCUUGAUUUUGAUGCAACCCUGCCAAUUGCAAACGAUUUGGCUACAGAAACUCUUUAUUUUUUCUCUCUAUUUGAUUAUGUAUUUAUCUUUUUUAUAAAAAAAGUUGUAUUUCCAUCUCACUUCAACAGACUAUCUAUUUAGUUUGACUAGUCAGAGUGGCUAGCCAAAUUUGACUAGUGAAGGAGCCAAUUUGAAGAGUCGAAUAGCUUGGUGAGCUAGAUAACUAGUAUGUCGGAGAAUUAUUUUAAUGUUGGGUAACCAAAAUUUGGCUUGACGAACCAUUUGCCUAGUCUUUUGUAGAUGCUUUGAGGCAUUUGAGGCAGCAUUUCUAUUUGCCUAGUCUUUUGUAGAUGCUCUGAGGCAUUUGGGGCAGCAUUUCUAGGACCAAGGUAACAUUGGUACAGAAUACAAGCAAUGGAUUCAUACACCUGCAACCUACUACUUGUCCAAGAAAACAAGAAUUACCAUUCAAAAUAAUCUGAGAUGAUUCCUUU